CGUAUCACCCAAGACAACUUUACGGAGUUGACGAUUGACGGAGCGAAGCGACGUCAAAGCGUUCAUUAAAGUCGAGUUGGCUUAGGGAUACGUUCGUUGGGUAGGGGAGCGUUCUGUAAGCCUGUGAAGGUGUGUCGUGAGGCAUGCUGGAGGUAUCAGAAGUGCGAAUGCUGACAUAAGUAACGAUAAAGCGGGUGAAAAGCCCGCUCGCCGGAAGACCAAGGGUUCCUGUCCAACGUUAAUCGGGGCAGGGUGAGUCGACCCCUAAGGCGAGGCCGAAAGGCGUAGUCGAUGGGAAACGGGUUAAUAUUCCCGUACUUGGUGUUACUGCGAAGGGGGGACGGAGAAGGCUAUGUUGGCCGGGCGACGGUUGUCCCGGUUUAAGCGUGUAGGUGUGUGUUCCAGGUAAAUCCGGUUCACUUUAACACUGAGGCGUGACGACGAGGCACUACGGUGCUGAAGCAACAAAUGCCCUGCUUCCAGGAAAAGCCUCUAAGCAUCAGGUAACACGAAAUCGUACCCCAAACCGACACAGGUGGUCAGGUAGAGAAUACCAAGGCGCUUGAGAGAACUCGGGUGAAGGAACUAGGCAAAAUGGUGCCGUAACUUCGGGAGAAGGCACGCUGACACGUAGGUGAAGUGAUUUACUCAUGGAGCUGAAGUCAGUCGAAGAUACCAGCUGGCUGCAACUGUUUAUUAAAAACACAGCACUGUGCAAACACGAAAGUGGACGUAUACGGUGUGACGCCUGCCCGGUGCCGGAAGGUUAAUUGAUGGGGUCAGCGUAAGCGAAGCUCCUGAUCGAAGCCCCGGUAAACGGCGGCCGUAACUAUAACGGUCCUAAGGUAGCGAAAUUCCUUGUCGGGUAAGUUCCGACCUGCACGAAUGGCGUAAUGAUGGCCAGGCUGUCUCCACCCGAGACUCAGUGAAAUUGAACUCGCUGUGAAGAUGCAGUGUACCCGCGGCAAGACGGAAAGACCCCGUGAACCUUUACUAUAGCUUGACACUGAACAUUGAGCCUUGAUGUGUAGGAUAGGUGGGAGGCUUUGAAGUGUGGACGCCAGUCUGCAUGGAGCCGACCUUGAAAUACCACCCUUUAAUGUUUGAUGUUCUAACGUGGACCCGUAAUCCGGGUUGCGGACAGUGUCUGGUGGGUAGUUUGACUGGGGCGGUCUCCUCCUAAAGAGUAACGGAGGAGCACGAAGGUUGGCUAAUCCUGGUCGGACAUCAGGAGGUUAGUGCAAUGGCAUAAGCCAGCUUGACUGCGAGCGUGACGGCGCGAGCAGGUGCGAAAGCAGGUCAUAGUGAUCCGGUGGUUCUGAAUGGAAGGGCCAUCGCUCAACGGAUAAAAGGUACUCCGGGGAUAACAGGCUGAUACCGCCCAAGAGUUCAUAUCGACGGCGGUGUUUGGCACCUCGAUGUCGGCUCAUCACAUCCUGGGGCUGAAGUAGGUCCCAAGGGUAUGGCUGUUCGCCAUUUAAAGUGGUACGCGAGCUGGGUUUAGAACGUCGUGAGACAGUUCGGUCCCUAUCUGCCGUGGGCGCUGGAGAACUGAGGGGGGCUGCUCCUAGUACGAGAGGACCGGAGUGGACGCAUCACUGGUGUUCGGGUUGUCAUGCCAAUGGCACUGCCCGGUAGCUAAAUGCGGAAGAGAUAAGUGCUGAAAGCAUCUAAGCACGAAACUUGCCCCGAGAUGAGUUCUCCCUGAGACUUAGAGUCUCCUGAAGGAACGUUGAAGACGACGACGUUGAUAGGCCGGGUGUGUAAGCGCAGCGAUGCGUUGAGCUAACCGGUACUAAUGAACCGUGAGGCUUAACCUUACA
rnacentral:rRNA from 3 species